UACGUAGGUCGCAAGCGUUAAUCGGAAUUACUGGGCGUAAAGCGUACGCAGGCGGCUUUGCAAGACAGGUGUGAAAUCCCCGGGCCUAACCUGGGAACUGCAUUUGUGACUGCAUGGCUAGAGUCUGUCAGAGGGGGGUGGAAUUCCACGUGUAGCAGUGAAAUGCGUAGAGAUGUGGAAGAACACCGAUGGCGAAGGCAGCCCCCUGGGAUGAGCCUGACGCUCAUGUACGAAAGCGUGGGGAGCAAACAGG
rnacentral:rRNA from 1 species